GCAAAGAAGCACUUAAAGAAACUUUCAUUGUUCUUAUAUUUUUCUAAAAUUUUGAUAUGGUACACUGAAGAAAGAACACUCAGCCAAACUCAACAACAGUUCAGGGCUCAGAUCCAAUCUCAGGGAAUGGAGCUACCCACAGAGGAUGGGUCCUCCCACACCAAUCAACACGAUGAAGAUAACCCCUGCUCGUGUGCUCGGACACCAAUCAACACGAUGAAGAUAAUCCCUGCUCGUGUGCUCGGAUGAUCAUAUCACAGAUACAAAUGUAAACCUCUCAACUACUUCUAAGGCAAUACACCUGCCUGUGUGUCACCAUAUUCUCCACCAUGAUUAGAAUGGACUAAACCUCUGAAACUAUCUACAAUGAAAAGGAGGAAAUCUGGACAAAGAGAAAUACAAAAGAAAUUUACGCCUCCCUUUGCAUUAAAGGUGUAAAAAUACUACUACCAGAAAUUUCAAUCAUCUUGAACCUUGUCAUAUGAAUAAUGGAGAACCAGGAAAUAUACAACCAUCAUCUUAACCAUAGUGAAGGUACCGCCCUUGCUGCCCAUUGGAAUUGUGGAAGCAAGAAGGACCACCUAGCAUUUGUUCUUUUCUUGAGUUGGUUUUGCCUCAAUAGAGGCAGAAAUGGAGCAGCUGUAAGCAGAUAGUCCUGGGGCAGGUAAUGAAUAAGCGUGGCUUUUGGCCCUGAUUGCAACCCUCUGUGCAGAUGAGCUUAACUUGGGGCAGCCAACUUGAGAAGGAAGGAGGCUGGAAGAGAUAAUUGUGGACAACAGAGAGCUGGCCUGAAGAUAUCCUGCUGAAUUCUGCAUAUCUCUGAACAGACAUCAGAUAUCAGACACUAAAUUUUCAAGAUGCCUCCAAUCCACAAAAUAGAAGAAAGAAGGAAAAAAGAGGCAGGGAUCUUUUUCUGUCAGGAAUCUUGAACUCUGUUGAUUGUAGAAGGCUGUUGGAUAUAAAUGCAUAAAGAAACAUAAAGGAAGGAUGCAUAUGUGUGUGCAUGCACAUGUGCAAAUUCCUGGCAAUACCUGCCUGCAGCCUUCUUCUGCUUCUCCAAGAUAUGUCUGUACAUAAGCUUACAAUGUCUACCGAGUCUUACAAAAUAAUGUGAAAUUACAUAGAAAUAGCAUUAAGCUUCCUGGGACUGGAUCUUAUCUGACACAUGCAUCCUUAUCAGAUAAGAUGCUGAGAUACAUAUAAGUGGGUAGUUUCUAUUGAGCAUCUUCUCUCCCUUAUGUCUGGAGGAAGAGAAUGAACUCAUUUCUAAUCCUGCGAAGUGGCUGUUUAAAGAGAACUAACUCAGUCACUAACUCAGUUGGCUCCCUGAACAAAGAUGAUCCUGCUUCCAUGAUGCUCCUACAAUCCCAAUCUCUCAAUGUUGGUGGAGCUGAGGCAGCUCUUCUAAGCCAUGUGACAAGGAUGAGGACAAAAACCCUCCUCAACUUUCAAUUGAUAGAAGGAUUCCUGAUCUUAACUAUGUAGAUUCUGUUCUCUCAACUCUGAAUCAUUCACUUUUAGAACACUUCUAAGGAAAUGAAAGCAUAGUAGCCUCUAUCUCAUUAUGUUAUAACUGUUUGGGGUGCUAGAGUUACAGCACAGCAACUUCAACUCUCACUGAUACAUUUAUGGUAUCAUUUGUAAUUAAGAACAUUGGGCUCCAUUUAGGGAAACAGAUCACCCAGAUAACCUAGCUGGCUAACUGGGUAGUAUAUAUGAGCUCCCGUGGAAGGAGCAAAGAGUGAGCAUUAUAAGAAAUUAAUCAAGGCAAAGUUCAUUAAUCCCAUGACUCUGAAUCCCACAAGAAACUCUCAGCAGAGAAAGCUAUUCCAUACAAAGGGAAACCAUUCUGGAAUGUAUAUAUUUAAUUUACAUAUGGUAUAUUGAAAACAAAUACAGCAUAACUUCUAAGUAUGUAUUUUAAUACUGCAAUUUAAUAGUAUUUAGGCUUUGAUUAAUAUUCACCUAGAGGCCAAGUAAGCAUGCCACAUUCAUCUACUAUUUUUCUUAAGUCAAGAAAUGGUUUGUUCACCUAACACCUUUUAGAUCUUGCCUCUUGGUCACUCAUUAAGCUCCAUCUUUGCUUUUGUAACUCAUGCCUCUCUUCUAAACUGUGACUGUGGUGGUAGGGAGUCUCCAGGCCACUUCCAUAUCGCAUCUCCAGCAUCUCUUCCAGUGUCCAAUGCUCAAAGAGCUAUUAGUUAAUGUGUGGCUGGGGAGAGAACACCUCUCUCUCUUUUUUAACUGUCAAGUUGAGAAUUCUAGAUUUUAGCCUAAGCUGUAUCAUGAUCAAACACUGCAGAACGGGAUUCCAGAUUGUGUUUGGUUAGGUUCACUGUCAAAUUAGCCACUUAUCACUUUUCUGCUCAAAGAAAUGAGGGGCUCCCUAAUCAAUAUUCUUAGAUGAGACUGGAGGGAUUUCUGUGGCUAUAAAAAGUCAGUUAAUAUCUCUACCCAAUCACUUUCAUAGUACUGGUCUGAAACAGGAAACUUUCAGUUGUAUGUCUCCCCUUUUACAAGCCUUUGUUUUUAAAAUGUACAUUUACUUCUUUUUCUUUAUGUGACUGGUUGUCUGUAUGUGCCUCGUGUGUAUAGUCAUCUGUAGCAGCCAGAGUACAAUUGGAAACUCUGGAACUGAAGUUACAGGAAGUGGUGUACCACCCAGUCUGGGUUCUGGGAACUGGUCCUGGGUCUUUGCAAGAGCAUCAAGUGCAAUUAACAGCUGAGCCAUCUCUCCAGUUCUACAAGUUGUACUUUUAAAUAAUAGUAUAUUAUGCUAAUGUAUGAGCAUACACAAAAUCAGAGCUUAAUCAUCCAACUUCGAUAAUCACCAAUGUUUUGUUUGUUUAGUCUUUGUCCAUUUCUUCCAAAGUUUGUUUACUUAUUUAUUCUUUUUAUAAUUAAAAUCAAAUACUAACCUAAUGUUACCUCUGAUUUUGUCUUCCACAGCAUAAAUGCUGUUAGAUAACUUCCCACUGUCUUAUGCUUUUGUUUUCCAAGGAUCCAGUCACCCAUAAUCAGUGAUGCUCCAAAGCUAUAAAAUGGAGAAUUUCAGAAAUACACACUGCAUGUCAUUCUGCUUGUCUUAAACGCCAUGCCAUUCUGAAUAAAGUGUUGGAAUCUCCCACCACCCUGGUUCAUCCCAGGUGAGACAAGAAGCAUCCUUUCACCCAGAGCAUCCAUAUUCAUAAACU